rnacentral:rRNA from 1 species
AUUGAACGCUGGCGGCAUGCUUUACACAUGCAAGUCGAACGGUAACAGGGUGCUUGCACUGCUGACGAGUGGCGAACGGGUGAGUAAUACAUCGGAAUGUACCCAGUAAUGGGGGAUAACGCUUCGAAAGGAGUGCUAAUACCGCAUACGCCCUGAGGGGGAAAGUGGGGGACCGCAAGGCCUCACGUUAUUGGAGCAGCCGAUGGCUGAUUAGCUAGUUGGUGAGGUAAAGGCUCACCAAGGCGACGAUCAGUAGCGGGUCUUAGAGGACGAUCCGCCACACUGGAACGGAGACACGGUCCAGACUCCUACGGGAGGCAGCAGUGGGGAAUCUUGGACAAUGGGCGAAAGCCUGAUCCAGCAAUGCCGCGUGCGUGAAGAAGGCCUUCGGGUUGUAAAGCGCUUUUGUCUGGGAGCAAGUCCUGGCCUCUAAUACAGGUCGGGGAUGAGAGUACCAGAAGAAUAAGGACCGGCUAACUAGGUGCCAGCCGCCGCCGUAAUAC